rnacentral:rRNA from 1 species
UACGAAGGGGGCUAGCGUUGCUCGGAAUCACUGGGCGUAAAGCGCACGUAGGCGGAUCUUUAAGUCAGAGGUGAAAUCCCAAGGCUCAACCUUGGAACUGCCUUUGAUACUGGGGAUCUCGAGUCCGGAAGAGGUGAGUGGAACUGCGAGUGUAGAGGUGAAAUCGUAGAUAUUCGGAAGAACACCAGUGGCGAAGGCGACACACUGGCUCGGUACUGACGCUGAGGUGCGAAAGCGUGGGGAGCAAACAGG